rnacentral:rRNA from 1 species
GGAUAACCCCGGGAAACUGGGGCUAAUACCGGAUAGGCAAUUAUUCCUGCAAUGGUUUUUUGUUUAAAUGUUUUUUCGCCUAAGGAUGAGUCUGCGGCCGAUUAGGUAGUUGGUUAGGUAAUGGCUUACCAAGCCGUUGAUCGGUACGGGUUGUGAGAGCAAGAGCCCGGAGAUGGAACCUGAGACAAGGUUCCAGGCCCUACGGGGUGCAGCAGGCGCGAAACCUCCGCAAUGUGAGAAAUCGCGACGGGGGGAUCCCAAGUGCCAUUCUUAACGGGAUGGCUUUUCAUUAGUGUAAAGAGCUUUUGGAAUAAGAGCUGGGCAAGACCGGUGCCAGCCGCCGCGGUAACACCGGCAGCUCUAGUGGUAACAAUUUUUAUUGGGCCUAAAGCGUCCGUAGCCGGUUUAAUAAGUCUCUGGUGAAAUCCUGUAGCUUAACUGUGGGAAUUGCUGGAGAUACUAUUAGACUUGAGACCGGGAGAGGUUAGAGGUACUCCCAGGGUAGAGGUGAAAUUCUGUAAUCCUGGGAGGACCGCCUGUUGCGAAGGCGUCUAACUGGAACGGUUCUGACGGUGAGGGACGAAAGUUAGGGGCGCGAACCGGAUUAGAUACCCGGGUAGUCCUAACUGUAAACGAUGCGGACUUGGUGUUGGGGUGGCUUUGAGCUGCUCCAGUGCCGAAGGGAAGCUGUUAAGUCCGCCGCCUGGGAAGUACGGUCGCAAGACUGAAACUUAA